rnacentral:rRNA from 1 species
UACGUAGGGUGCAAGCGUUAAUCGGAAUUACUGGGCGUAAAGCGUGCGCAGGCGGUCAUGCAAGACAGAUGUGAAAUCUCCGGGCUUAACCUGGGAACUGCAUUUGUGACUGCGUGACUAGAGUAUGGUAGAGGGGGAUGGAAUUCCGCGUGUAGCAGUGAAAUGCGUAGAUAUGCGGAGGAACACCGAUGGCGAAGGCAAUUCCCUGGACCUGUACUGACGCUCAUGCACGAAAGCGGGGGGAGCAAACAGG